rnacentral:rRNA from 1 species
GACGAACGCUGGCGGCGUGCUCAACACAUGCAAGUCGAACGGAAAGGCCCUGCUUUUGUGGGGUGCUCGAGUGGCGAACGGGUGAGUAACACGUGAGUAACCUGCCCUUGACUUUGGGAUAACUUCAGGAAACUGGGGCUAAUACCGGAUAGGAGCUCCUGCUGCAUGGUGGGGGUUGGAAAGUUUCGGCGGUUGGGGAUGGACUCGCGGCUUAUCAGCUUGUUGGGGGGGUAGUGGCUUACCAAGGCUUUGACGGGUAGCCGGCCUGAGAAGGUGACCAGCCCCAUUGGGGCUGUGGAACGGCCCAGACUCCUACUGGAGGCAGCAAUGGGGAAUGUUUCAAAAUGGGGUGAAACCGGAUGAAGCCACGCCAGGUGGGGGAAGACGGCCUUUGGGUUGUAAACCGCUUUCGCCUGUGACGAAGCGUGAGUGACGGUAAUGGGUAAAGAAGCACCGGCUAACUACGUG